UCUGAGCAUGACCGUUCGGUCUCUGACAGCCCACCUGCACUGGUCCCUGAGUCUCGGGGCUCCGUGGGCUUUGGGGCCAAACCUCAGCUCUUCCACUGUAGCCCAGGAAGCCCCCCCCGCCCCAGGGCCACAGGGGUAAGAAAGGAGUGUGAGAGCAGCCGCGAGCUCCGGGCAGCCCGGAGCUGAUCGAUGAGUCCCUCCACAGUGUCCUGUCCGGGUGGCCCCCAGCCUGUGCACCCGCCCCCUCCAGAGCCAACCCCCCCCCCCAAGUCCGGGCACAUCCCCGCCACCAGGCCUCACGUUUACACAGCACUUCCGUGCACGGCACACUCACCUCCCCUGAUGCAGCAUGCAGGUCAGCAGGGCAAGGGGGUGUCCCUGCCUUCCUGCCCAGACACGGCGAGAAGUCAUGGACAGAGCGGGAAGAACCACAGCUUUAAAGGCUUCAGAGAACCUCUCUUUAUUCCUGUUUGAGACCCUGGUUCUCUCCUCUCCAUUUAGAAAGGGUACAGCAGCGUCAGGCACAACGAGUAUAAGCUCCCAGCAUCCUGGAGGAGGCAGUCCAGAGACUUCCAAGGUCACCUCCUACCCCACCGGGACCUCCCUGCAGGCUUCCUGACCAACUGUCCGGCUCACUGCCUCUCAGGAGGGACACUCUGCCGAGAAGAAAGCUCUCCCUCCUGCCGCACUGGGGCCGGCCCUGGAGACCCCUCGCCACUGGCCCCAGACCCAUCUCCCCCUGAAGAACUCAGAAGAAAUGGAAAAGCAGAACCAAAGUCCCCCACCCAGGUGCCGCUGGCCGGGGUCCUGGUGUGACCACCCCAGCUGUUUACGGCAACACGCCUCACGCUGCUUGGAGCCCUGGCUGUUCCAGUUGCUAAGUACUUUGAUGCCACCCUAGACUCUCAGGAGUGGAGUCGAGGGCACAGUGAGAGGGCGACCCUCCCAAAGGCCUUCCCCACCGGCUCGGAUCCACUAGCUCACUCACAGAGCCCCUCCUCCAGCACAUGACAGCUUAAUAAAGAAAUGGUCAUUCCUAA